AUGAACCAUCGGAGCUUGCAAUCUUUUUCUCCACCACAAACAAGAUACUGUACUAGUAAAGAGAAAGGAUGCUGCAUGUAAGGACAGCGAGAGGCAAUGGAAGCCGUCUACAGAAAUGUGCUAUGAGAACUAGAACCCCAAUCUAGACCCACACUGUCCAUGAGAAGGAUGGAUGGGCCCACCUGAGAAGGAGCCGCAUUCUUUAAGGAUCCUUCUAUGAUUGUCUAAGGGAAAAACAAAAAGGCCUGGAGUCGUCAGGAAUGCAGUCGGCUUCAGCAAGGAUAUACAGAAGGCUAGUAAUUUGACAGGACACAUGCAUGCUCAGUCGAGCCGAACAUACGUGUGCACGUGAGCUGUCAGCUGAACGAUAGGGCCAGCUGUGUUUUUUUGCAGAUCAGAUGCGGACCCAGUCAUCUCAAUGGGGCCGCAAAAGAUGCGGGCAGCACAUGGGUCCGGCAGCC